UUACGUUUUCUCAGUUUUCUAAGUGUCAAAUUUUAAGAGUUAAUUUACCAGUUUUCAAGUGCUUAGGGUUUCCCGUGAGUAAUUCAAAAGGACCACUCAUGCUCUAAUUUCCAAUAAAUCAUUUGGGAUGUUUACUUAACUCCAAUUUUAUGACUUUUUGAACCAAAAGUAACACUACACAACCAGGAAAACCAUUUCAAACAUCCGGACGUUCCAAGGGCAAAAGGGGAAUGACGUCUCGAACGCCCUCCACCUGGUUCACCUCGACCCAAAAGAAAAUUCCAAAGGUUGGUUCCGUUUGAUAAUUUACGACCUGGAACCUGACAGGUGACUCUAAGUCCAUGGGGUUGACAACGAUCUCGAGCACCUUGUAGGCAUGCCAGCCCACAUGAUGCCAUCCUGACUCCUGGAUAACCUGAAGGCAAAUCCAACAUCUUCCGACAGGAAAAUUAAAAAACGGCUCAGACCCACACCCUUCACAAGGACGAGGAGCAAAAAAGUUUGUUAUUCCGACGAAAUGGAGAGUCCUUAUUUCCCAUUGAUGACGAAUUGGCAGUAAUCCUUUUUGGGCACAGUUAACACACCUCCAAAUCCAACCCUCAGGACCUUGGGCUACCGAAACCUGAUAAUAUACAUGCCGGAUUUGAACGUUAACUUCAGGAAUGAUGUCUGGGAAUUGUCUGUGAGGCACAAGCAGUUCCAGUGCUGGUCUUAAAUCCCGGAUAUUUUGAAAUUUCUCUGAUAAAUAAUUCAGAGCACAAUACACCAACAAGGAGAUGAGAAUCAUUUCCAUCAUUUUGACAAGUGACAACACGAUUUCACUUUUAUACAAAGAAAAUAAAAGAAAACGAAAAGAAUUUUCGAGAUCCAGAAUCAAUGAAAGAUUCGAUAGGAAUGAAGAUUUGAACGAGCUUCACUGGUUCUGUAGUGGGGGAAAAGAACCCAACUUUUCGGAAUAUCAAUUGCAGAAUCACCAGGACCAGGGAUAUUUGGCAGUAUUUAAAAUUUAUUUUGCAAUUUCGUGAUCAGAUAAGUAUUCAAUAAUGCAUAUAUUAUAUUGUAUAAAAAUUAUUAAUUUAUAAUUACUUUUCUUUGUUUUUAAAAUGUUUUUUUAGGUUAAUUAGGUCUGCAGAUAGUGGCAAACCGAGGAAUUAAACUAUAGCACUCACAGCUUUUCACCACCAAUUCCAGGAUUGUACUGAUCUUAUUAUUUUUGCAUUCAAAAUGGAGUCUUUCGUGAGCCAGCGAGUGCACAUUGUCAAGCCGCAGAAAGAGUUCCUGCAAAUGAAUCGUAUAGGUCUUAUCAGGCGGAUUGACAGAGAAGCUUCUUGGAAGAUUAGCAUCUCUACUAUAAACUAGAGUGAAGGGAGCAAAGCCUGUUGCCUCGCGAACAUUCACAUUAUAAGAGAAAACUGCAAAUCGAGUCCAAUCAUCCCAGUCAACUUUUCCUUCGAAACUUCUGAGAUAUUCAAUCAAGGUGGAUGACGAUAAUUUUUUAUGUUUACCGGUUAAUUAUCAGAAGUGACAAUUUUAUGAGCAACAACAUUAGUUGAUCCCAAUUUGUCAUUAGGAAGAUGAAAUUGCUGAGAAUAAUCAAAAAAUAUUGCAAAUCUAGAAGCCUGUUUUCUUUCAUUAGCAGAAAGUUUACAAUCCUCAGAAUCAAUUUCAAAAUAUUCUUCAAGUUCAACUGGUGGUAUUGUUAAAUUUAUUUGCUGAUUAUUGGAAUUUAUAAAGAAGAUUUUAGCAGUUCCGUUUUCAUUAAAAAUCAAAGACUCACCAGCAAAAAUUCCAGGACCACACUGAAUUCUACGUAAACUGAUUGUCUUAUGGGAGUCAAACGGAAAAUUAAUAUUUUCUAUUUGAAGACAGUCACUUUCAAAAUUUACAAUGGCGUUGUCUUUUUUGAGGAAAGGAAUACCAAGGAUACCUUCUUGUGGAAUGGGAAAUGAUUCUGAUACAACGUGGAAAGAAGCUUCGAGGCCCCUUAUGAUCAACCUGAUUUCACCGAUAGUGGAAACCAUUUCCGGGCCUAUUCCAACCAAAUGAAUUAUUCGCUUUUUAUUUAUCCAAACCGUGGGACUCACUACAUUUUCUUUAUUUAAGUUCACUCCAGCGCCAGUAUCAAUUAAAAAGAUCACCUUAUUCUUUGAAAAAGAAGAAUUAUCAAAUUCUACUGUCGCAUUUGAACCGAGUUCAUUAAACUGUCCGAGUGAGAGGAUAAUGCGCUGGGUUGAGAGGGGUUUACACUUAGAGUCGUGUAAACUUAGACCGUUCCCUUGCAUGCCUUCUUUUAAUGUUACAAUUCUCUACAGAAUGGUUACCUCGAUAACAAUAACUACAAUCCGCACUCUCUUUGUCCUUUACAUCUCUUUUAAUCUUUUUUGGACUGUUUCGCUUAUAAUGUCCAAAUUAUUUACAAUAAUAACACUGCACAGACUCUAAAUUUCGUACAGGCUUAGUAUUAUCCUCUACUCGCACAUGAGCUACUCUCUUUAAUAUAUCUUGCCCUAUUUUAUUCCUUAAGUUAGAUCCCAACGAGGUAGAUGGAAUUGAGCCAGACAGAGAUUCAUGCACUCUUUCCCAACUUUUCACUUUUUGAUCGGCUUUAAUGGCUAAUGCAAUACCAUCAUCCAAAGUGUUAAUUUCUUUAUCAUGAAUGGCCAUAUAAAUGUUAAAAUCUAACCCGCGUAAAAAAUUGCCAAUCACGGUCACUUUAUACGCUUCACAACCGCCCAUACCUCUUACUCCAGGGGUGUUUUCCAUUACUUGAGAAGUUAAUUUAUUGAAAAUUUGAUUAACGCGAGCCCCAUAUUCUGGAAUUGACUCAUCCGGUUUCCUUUUAACGUUAGCUAAAGUCUGUAAAAUUUGACUUAUAUCUUCUUCCUGGGCGUAAAUGCGUUCUAAAGUUUUUAAGAUGUCAUGAAGUUCGAAAUCGCUUCUAUCUUGAAUAUAAUAAAGCGCUUCGCCGGUAAUUUUAUUCAAAACCAUCAUAGUUAAGUAAAGUGCAUCGCGAGGAUCGGUCAUACCAAUAACAGACUUACACUAUCAGAAGGAUUUUCGCUCACUACUAAUCGAGAUCGCAAUUCUUGACUUACUACAGCAGGUGGUCCACCAGCACUAUCAAUUUUAUCUCGUCUAGCUUUUUUCGGUGUCGAUGCUUCGUUUACAUCUUUCGCAUUCACUGCUCCAGGAAGGUUUUCUGAAUUGCUUGAGUGUCCUUGAUCCUUCAGCAAUUUCCUUCGAGUAGUUGUUCAGGAUUUCUUUGCGGUUGAUCCCACGGUGCCAUACUUUCUUCCGUUUCGGGCAGGUGAUUCGGCAUCAAUUUUUAUUUUCCACGUUGAGGUAAGGAUUUUCUUAUUAAAAAUUUAUUUUAUCCUUUUAGGCCUAGGGUUAUUGAGGAAUAGUUUGUUGGUCUCUAUUUAACCGUUAACAACCUUUGUGCAAUUGUCGACACCCUAUGCUACCGGGAGUAAACCCACCCCAAAACCCUGGUAGAAGAUUGCGGCUUUUAUUUUCUAAUGUUUAUUGUUAUAAAUUGAUAAUCCUGUUCCAUUCAUUUUUCAGAUUCAAAAGACAGCGCCUUUUAUCUGUGGAGUAUUCUUCUUUGUGGUAAGACGAACAGCCUUAAAUUUCAAUCAGUGAGUCAGUAGUCCAUUGACCCAGUUUUUCUUCAAUUUAUUAUUAUCUGAACAGGAUCGUUGUUGCCAUUGAUUCGUUGAAACGAAAACCAUUUAAAGGAACUUAUUUGAAAUAAAAAAACACUUAAUUUAACAGUUGAUUAUUCACAAUUUAUUUAAAGAUGCAUUUCCACCAUCACUGUCUCAGAAGUCACAAAUCACAAUUGUUUAUAAUUGUUUAUAUCGCGGCAUGCCGUUUCGCGUUUAACAAUUGGUCUUAUUUAUAAUAGUUUAUUAUUUAACAACAAUUCAAAUGAAUUAACUAAAUUCAAACACAAUACAAAGUUUUUGGGUCCAAAAAACUCAAUUAUACACUAUCAAGUGUCGCAGGUUUAGUAUUAAAUAUGCGGUUCGGAGAUGCAAAAUCUGGCGUUUUUCCGUUGUGCGCGCGUUUUUAUAAAUUCUGUUUUGGGCGGAGAAAUCUCCCAAUUUCCCUUUUCAGCCAAUAAAAUCGCUGACGUCAUUAAAUUUAACAGUCAGUUUACAAAUAAGAAAUUAGGUCGCAUGGCUCCGCCUAUUAGAUUUACAACGCAAUAUGACCGUUAAUUUUUAUGACAAGAUGGAUGUUUUGUAACGCAGUGAACAUUUUUGAUAUCAAAAUUUUCUCAGAUUUUACCACUAAAGAGUAUAAUACUAUCAUCUGCACUGUCAGCAGAAA